GCCUGGGAAAGCUCGCACUCCAAUGUAGCUGUGUCUCCCUCGGUCACCUCUAGGUCCUGCGGCCCCCUCACAAUGGUCACUGGGGCCUCUGGGAGGGGGAGAAGGAAGACACACUUGGGCACAGGGCUAUUGUUCCUGAAGACCCUUGAAGUACGGAUCAGCCCCAUUCUUGAGAAAACUUGGCUCAGAGAGACAAAGCCAACUGGGACACGUGAAAUGGAAUGCAAAAUCCACACGGACUUCUAGGGACCAAACCUCGAACGUGGAGCCGGGCACUUGUGGCUGUGCCCCCUGCUCGGGCAGUCACGGUCCCCGCAUCCUCCAG